UGCAGAUCCGGCAGCAAGAUGAGAGGCAAGGCGGCGCUCAUCUUAUUCCUCGUGGUCCUUGUUGUAUGCCAUGCGUUCUCCGCACACUGCAGCCGCCAUCUAGAUGGUGUAUUCUACAAUGUACUGCCCAAAGAGUGCAAGCUGAGUAUAUGCCAUGACGGCAAAGACGACAAAUGCUUCUGCUGUUUGGCGACCCCUGACAGUCCGUGUUGGCUCGACGAGGACGAGUGCCAGAAGGUCUGCUCGCAGGUGGAGUUCCCUCCACCCUCUGCCGACAAGCGGCAGCAAUCAAUAAUUUCAUGAGUUAUUUAGAGAAGGGGCAAUAAAGGAUUGAUCACGCUGUGUUUUUGGUUUCGAUGAAUGGAUCCAACGCUGUGUAAGGAAUUGAGUCAAGAAGUCCAGCUUUUACUUGAUUGAUACCGUGAGCAAAGUACAA